rnacentral:rRNA from 1 species
GAUGAACGCUAGCUACAGGCUUAACACAUGCAAGUCGCGGGGCAGCAUGGGGGUUGCUUGCCAUCCCCGAUGGCGACCGGCGCACGGGUGAGUAACGCGUAUCCAACCUGCCCUUCACCACGGGAUAACCCGGCGAAAGUCGGACUAAUACCGUAUGUUGUCCAUUGACGGCAUCCGAUUUGGACGAAAGGCUUGGCGGUGAGGGAUGGGGAUGCGUCCGAUUAGCCAGACGGCGGGGUAACGGCCCACCGUGGCUACGAUCGGUAGGGGUUCUGAGAGGAAGGUCCCCCACACUGGAACUGAGACACGGUCCAGACUCCUACGGGAGGCAGCAGUGAGGAAUAUUGGUCAAGGGGCGUAAGCCUGAACCAGCCAAGUAGCGUGCAGGAUGACGGCCCUAUGGGUUGUAAACUGCUUUUAUGCGGGGAUAAAGUGGCCCACGUGUGGGCUUUUGCAGGUACCGCAUGAAUAAGGACCGGCUAAUUCCGUG